UAUUUUUAUUUAUUUUUUUUUUUUUUAAGAAAAUACGCUACACGUUUGGGUCAGUGCUGAAUGUUUUUUUUUUGUUUUGAAAAUAAAGCCUACUUUUUUUUCAGCAAGGACGUGUUAAUUAAAUAAAAAGUGAUUGUAAAGGCCUAUAAUUUCAGAAAAGAUUUCCAUUUUAGAUGAAUGCUGUUUUUUUUUUACAUUCUUAAAUGAAUCCUGAAAAAAUCAUAGCAGCCUUUAAAAAAAAAAAAAGGAGCACAACUGUUCAGCAGUAAGAAUGCCUGCCUCUUCUACACUCUACAUUUCUUCCCUAGUCAUUAACUGCACAUCAUUCUUAAUCACCACACAUAUCUGCCAUCAUCCUCACCAACUCAUUUGACUACCUGCUUGUUUGGCAGAAAUUUACCUGUACGUUUGGUUGAAAUAGGAUAUAUUUUCUUUUGCAAUGUACAUUUUGAAUGUACAUUCACUGACUGUACAUUCAAUGCAAAUCAUAUAAUCUUCUCACUUAAAUUGGUUAUUUUAGAUGACCUGAGCCAGCUGUGCCAUGUCUGUGGGAAGAAAAGUGGUGAUAAUAACUGGAUUGCCUGUGACUGCUGCAAUCGGUGGUACCACCAAUCAUGUAUCCAGGCGACAUCACAAGUGCACUUUUUGUGUCAUGCUGGUCAAAAGUAGAAAUAAAGGAGUAACACUUUUUAUA